rnacentral:tRNA from 1 species
AGCUUCGUGGCGCAGCGGAAGCGCGCCGGGCUCAUAACCCGGAGGACCAUCGAUCGAAACGAUGCGAAGCUA